AUCGAACGCUGGCGGCAGGCUUAACACAUGCAAGUCGAGCGGGGACUUCGGUCCUAGCGGCGAACGGGUGAGGAAUGCUUGGGAAUCUGCCCAGUAGCGGGGGAUAACGUUUCGAAAGGAACGCUAAUACCGCAUACGCCCUACGGGGGAAAGGGGGGGAUCUUCGGACCUCUCACUAUUGGAUGAGCCCAAGUCGGAUUAGCUAGUUGGUGGGGUAAAGGCCUACCAAGGCGACGAUCCGUAGCUGGCCUGAGAGGAUGAUCAGCCACACUGGAACUGAGACACGGUCCAGACUCCUACGGGAGGCAGCAGUGGGGAAUAUUGGACAAUGGGCGAAAGCCUGAUCCAGCCAUGCCGCGUGUGUGAAGAAGGCCUUCGGGUUGUAAAGCACUUUAAGCGAGGAGGAAUGGCUCUUGGUUAAUAACCUUGAGCAGUGACGUUACUCGCAGAAUAAGCACCGGCUAACUCUGUGCCAGCCGCCGCAGUAAAAC
rnacentral:rRNA from 1 species